rnacentral:rRNA from 1 species
UUCCGGUUGAUCCUGCCGGACCCGACUGCUAUCAGAGUGAGAUUAAGCCAUGCGAGUUAACGUAGCAGUACGUGGCGCACGGCUCAGUAACACGUAGUCAACAUGCCCAGAGGACGUGGAUAACCUCGGGAAACUGAGUCUAAACCGCGAUAAGUGAGGAUUUCUGGAAUGGUUCCUGACUAAAAUCUAUAUGGCCUCUGGAUUGGACUGCGGCCGAUCAGGCUGUUGGUGAGGUAAUGGCCCACCAAACCUGUAACCGGUACGGGCUCUGAGAGGAGGAGCCCGGAGAUGGGCACUGAGACAAGGGCCCAGGCCCUAUGGGGCGCAGCAGGCGCGAAACCUCUGCAAUAGGCGAAAGCCUGACAGGGUUACUCUGAGUGACUUUCGCUAAGAAAGUCUUUUGGCACCUCUAAAAAGGGUGCAGAAUAAGGGGUGGGCAAGUCUGGUGUCAGCCGCCGCGGUAAUACCAGCACCCCGAGUGGUCGGGACGAUUAUUGGGCCUAAAGCAUCCGUAGCCGGUUCUGCAAGUCCCCCGUUAAAUCCAGCUGCUCAACAGAUGGGUCGCGGAGGAUACUACAGGGCUAGGAGGCGGGAGAGGCAAGCGGUACUUUAUGGGUAGGGGUAAAAUCCGCUGAUCCAUAGAAGACCACCAGUGGCGAAGGCGGCUUGCCAGAACGCGCUCGACGGUGAGGGAUGAAAGCUGGGGGAGCAAACCGGAUUAGAUACCCGGGUAGUCCCAG